rnacentral:rRNA from 1 species
CCCUUAGAUGUCCUGGGCCGCACGCGCGCUACACUGACAUGUUCAACAAGCCUCCUAGUUCGACAGGAUUUGGGAAAUCUUUGAACGCAUGUCGUGAUAGGGAUAGAUCAUUGCAAUUAUUGAUCUUGAACGAGGAAUUCCUAGUAAACGCGAGUCAUCAGCUCGCAUUGAUUACGUCCCUGCCCUUUGUACACACCGCCCGUCGCACCUACCGAUUGAAUGUUUCGGUGACGAUUCCGGAUAGGACUUUUUUGAUUUAUUUCAAUUUUGUCUUAAAAGCUAUCUAAACCUCAACAUUUAGAGGAAGGUGAAGUCGUAACA